AACGAACGCUGGCGGCAGGCCUAACACAUGCAAGUCGAACGCCGUAGCAAUACGGAGUGGCAGACGGGUGAGUAACACGUGGGAACGUACCCUUCGGUUCGGGAUAACUCAGGGAAACUUGAGCUAAUACCGGAUACGUCCGAGAGGAGAAAGAUUUAUCGCCGAGGGAUCGGCCCGCGUCUGAUUAGCUUGUUGGUGAGGUAACGGCUCACCAAGGCGACGAUCAGUAGCUGGUCGAGAGGAUGAUCAGCCACAUUGGA
rnacentral:rRNA from 1 species